rnacentral:rRNA from 1 species
UACAGAGGGUGCGAGCGUUGUCCGGAAUCACUGGGCGUAAAGGGCGCGUAGGCGGCCUGGUAAGUGUGUGGUGAAAGCCCGGGGCUCAACCCCGGGUCUGCCGUGCAAACUGCCAGGCUCGAGCACAGUAGAGGCAGGUGGAACUCCGGGUGUAGCGGUGGAAUGCGUAGAGAUCCGGAAGAACACCGAUGGCGAAGGCAGCCUGCUGGGCUGUAGCUGACGCUGAGGCGCGAGAGCGUGGGGAGCAAACAGG